UACGGGGGGAGCAAGCGUUGUUCGGAUUUACUGGGCGUAAAGGGCGCGUAGGCGGUCGUGACAAGUCACUUGUGAAAUCUCCGGGCUUAACUCGGAACGGUCAAGUGAUACUGUCGGACUAGAGUACAGAAGGGGCAACUGGAAUUCUCGGUGUAGCGGUGAAAUGCGUAGAUAUCAGGAGGAACACCGAUGGCGAAGGCAGGUCAUUGGGCCGCAACUGACGCUGAGGAGCGAAAGCAUGGGGAGCGAACAGG
rnacentral:rRNA from 1 species